rnacentral:rRNA from 1 species
AUUGAACGCUGGCGGCAUGCUUUACACAUGCAAGUCGAGCGGUAACAGGCCUCUGGGUGCUGACGAGUGGCGAACGGGCGAGUAAUGCAUCGGAACGUGCCCAGAGGUGGGGGAUAAUGCAGCGACAGCCGUGUUAAUACCGCAUGUGAUCUGAGCUUCAAAGCGGGGGACCAAGCAGCAAUGUUUGGCCUCGUGCCUCUGGACCGGCCGAUGCCGGAUUAGGUAGUUGGUGGGGUAAAGGCCUACCAAGCCGAUGAUCUGUAGCUGGUAUGAGAGGACGGCCAGCCGCACUGGGACUGAGACACGGACCAGACUCCUGCGGGAGGCAGCAGUGGGGAAUGUUAGACAAUGGGCGGAAGCCUGGUCCAGCAAUGCCGCGUGCGAGAAGACGGCCUUCGGGUUGUAAACCGCUUUUGUGCGGAACGAAAAGGCUCUGGCUAAUACCUGGGGCUGAUGACGGUACCGUAAGAAUAAGCACCGGCUAACUACGUG